AUGGCAAUGGCGAAGGGGGGCAUGGGUUUGCUGGUAUGCUCAUUCCUGGCCGCCAUGGCGACCGCGAGUGGCGAUGAGGCCGCGUUGCUUGCUUUCAAAGCGGAGGUCAGCGACGCCGGCGGCUCGCUGGCCUCCUGGAACAGCAGCGCCGGUUUCUGCGGCUGGGAAGGCGUGACGUGCAGCCGCCGGAGGCCGGCGCGGGUGGUUGCGCUCAGACUGGACGGCGCCGGGCUCGCCGGAGCGCUCUCCCCGGCCAUCGGGAACCUCACGUUCCUGCGGACGCUCAACCUGAGCUCCAACUCGCUCCGCGGUGGCAUCCCGGCGAGCCUCGGCCGCCUCCGCCGCCUGCAGAGGCUCCACUUGGACGGCAACUCCUUCUCCGGCACGUUCCCGGUGAACCUGAGCUCCUGCGUCAGCAUGACCGAGGUGGUGCUGGACAACAACAAGCUUGGCGGGCGCAUCCCGCCUGAGCUCGGGCAGAAGCUGGCGUCUCUGGCAGUGAUCUCGCUGAGCAGCAACAUGUUCACGGGCCCUGUUCCUGCGUCACUGGCCAAUCUGUCCCAUCUAUGGUACCUUGAUCUAGGCAGCAACCAGCUCACCGGCUCGAUCCCGUCGAGGUUCGGAAGCUUCUUCCAGAGCAUGCGGAAAUUCAGUCUCGCCCAAAACAGCCUCUCUGGUAUGAUUCCACCUUCUCUCUACAACUGGUCGUCGUUGGAAUUCUUUGUGGUGGCGUUCAAUACGCUUCACGGAGGCCUCCCAAACAAUAUCGGAAGCAAGCUCCCCAAGCUGAAAGUUCUAAGCUUACCUUCUAACCAAUUCACUGGAGUCCUCCCUUCAUCACUAUCCAAUAUGUCUCAUCUCAUGUCGCUUAUUGCCUGGGGAAAUGGAUUUAGCGGGCAUGUGCCUCCCGCAUUAGGGAGGCUCGGAGUGCUUCAAUAUCUGCACGUGUCUGACAAUAGGCUCCAAGCUAAUGAUAGUAAGGGGUGGGAGUUCGUCGCUUCUUUGUCAAACUGCAGCCUGCUGCAGGUAUUGGUACUCAGCAACAAUUCUUUUGGGGGACAGCUACCGGGUUCAGUUGUGAACCUCACAACCACUCUCCAGCGGCUAUACUUGCAGGAUAAUAGGAUCUCUGGGAGCAUACCUGCAGAUAUCGGCAACUUGGUUGGUCUGAAAAUACUGGUGAUAGCAAACACUUACAUGUCCGGAGUGAUUCCAAAGAGCAUCGGCAAGCUACAGAACUUGAACGUGCUAUCAUUGUAUAAUAAUAGCUUGUCUGGCCUCAUACCGCCAUCGCUAGGAAACCUGUCACAGUUGAAUAAGCUUAAAGCAUACCUUGGCAACUUGGAGGGGCCAAUUCCGGCAAGCCUGGGGCAGCUGAAAAACCUCUUUGAACUGGAUUUCUCAAUGAACCGUCUUAACGGCUCAAUACCCAGAGAGAUCUUCAAAUUACCUGGCCUUUCUUACUAUCUGGACUUGUCAUACAACUCCCUUUCUGGACCCCUUUCUUAUGAAGUUGGUAGUUUGUCAAAUCUUAACCAUCUGGUUCUAUCAGGAAAUCAGUUGUCUGGCAAGAUACCUGACAGUAUACAGAAUUGCGUAGUGUUGGAAUGGCUAUUCUUAGACAACAAUUCGCUAGAGGGAAGCAUACCUCCGUCACUGGCAGAUAUAAAGGGGCUCCGUAUACUGAACCUGACCAUGAAUAAGUUCUCUGGUAAUAUUCCUGAGGCCCUUGGUAGCAUUGGCAACCUGCAGGGACUGUACCUAGCGCACAACAAUUUGUCAGGGUCAAUCCCAGUAGUUCUAGAGAAUUUGACAGCAUUAUCCAAACUGGAUGUAUCCUUCAAUAAUUUGCAAGGUGGGGUUCCAAAUGAAGGUGUUUUCAGAAACAUCACUUACUUAGCAGUGGCUGGGAAUGUCAACUUGUGUGGUGGUACACCUCAACUUCAUUUGGCUCCAUGCUCCAUAAGCAAGAACAAGAAAAAUGCGCCGAAGUCUCUUGUGAUUUCUUUAGCAACAACUGGAGCAAUCUUGUUCUCACUUUCAGUUAUUCUUCUUGCUUGGAUAUUUCGCAAGAAGCUCAAACCAAGCCACAAGACAUCAGCACAAAAUUCAGUUGAUGAUGACCAUUACAAGAGAAUUCCCUAUCAUGCAUUACUGAGAGGAACUAAUGGAUUUUCAGAAGUCAACUUGCUUGGGAGAGGAAGUUAUGGUGCGGUUUAUAAGUGUGUUCUGGACACUGAAGACAGAACAUUGGCUGUCAAGGUGUUUAACCUUGGUCAAUCUAGGUAUUCCAAGAGUUUUGAGGCUGAAUGUGAGGCCAUGAGAAGGAUACGACACCGUUGUCUCAUCAAGAUCGUUACUUCUUGUUCGAGUGUCAACCACCAAGGUCAAGAGUUCAAGGCAUUGGUUUUUGAGUUCAUGCCCAAUGGUAACUUGGAUAGUUGGCUUCAUCCAAAAUCUCAAGAGCCCACUACAAACAACACGCUUAGCCUUGCCCAGAGGCUUGGCAUUGCUGUCGAUAUUGUGGACGCAGUAGAAUAUCUGCACAACUACUGUCAGCCAUUGGUAAUCCAUUGCGAUCUUAAGCCAAGCAACAUUCUUCUUGCUGAAGACAUGAGCGCACGAGUUGGAGACUUUGGCAUAUCAAGGAUCCUUCAAGAAAAUACAAGUGAGGGGAUGCAAACUUCAUAUAGCUCAACUGGAAUUAGAGGUUCCAUAGGCUAUGUUGCUCCAGAAUACGGAGAAGGCUCUACGGUCUCAACAACCGGUGAUAUUUAUAGCCUUGGCAUAUUGCUGCUUGAGAUGUUUACGGGAAGGAGCCCAACAGAAGGCACGUUUGGAGAUUCAUUGGAUCUGCAUAAGUUUGCCGACGAUGCUGUUCCAGAUAGAACUCUGGAAAUAGCUGACCCAACGAUGUGGCUCCACAGCGGACAACAAGAUGAAACUACAAGUACUAGAAUGCAGGAGUGUUUGGUUUCAGUCUUCAGACUUGGCAUAUCUUGCUCAAAGCAACAGCCCCGAGACCGAGCACUGACGAGAAAUGCAGCGGCGGAGAUACAUGCAAUCAGAGAUGCAUACCUCAAGUUUAUAGGGGAGCAAGGACCAGAAAGAGAAGCCUCAGCUGGAGAAAUACAGUACAGUGUUGCAUAA
rnacentral:rRNA from 1 species